GAUGAACGCUGGCGGCGUGCCUAAUACAUGCAAGUCGAGCGAACGGACGAGAAGCUUGCUUCUCUGAUGUUAGCGGCGGACGGGUGAGUAACACGUGGAUAACCUACCUAUAAGACUGGGAUAACUUCGGGAAACCGGAGCUAAUACCGGAUGAUAUUUUGAACCGCAUGGUUCAAAAGUGAAAGACGGUCUUGCUGUCACUUAUAGAUGGAUCCGCGCUGCAUUAGCUAGUUGGUAAGGUAACGGCUUACCAAGGCAACGAUGCAUAGCCGACCUGAGAGGGGGAGCGCCACCAGUGGACCGGAGACCCGGCCCAGACCCCUGCGGGAGGCACCAGAAGGGACUUUUCCGAAGGGGGCGAAAGCGGGAAGACGCAGCGCGGCGGGAGGAAUAAAGGUGUUGGGACAUAAAAAUUUUUUUAGGGGGGAAAAACAGAUGUGAAAGUACUUGGGCAUUCCGGGGGGGACCCUAACAAAAAGACCAGGCCAACUCCCGCC
rnacentral:rRNA from 1 species